rnacentral:rRNA from 1 species
AUUAUUGAAUAAACCUGAUGUGACUGUUAGCUGGCUUUUCGAAGCAUGUGCUCGUCCAUCAUCUUUAAUCUCUCCACCUGUGCACAUUUUGUAGUCUUGGAUACCUCUCGAGGCAACUCGGAUUUUUAGGAUCGCCGUGCUGUACGAGUCGGCUUUUCUAUCAUUUCCAAGACUAUGUUUUUAUAUACACCAAAGUAUGUUUAAAGAAUGUCAUUAAUAGGAACUUGUUUUCUAUAAAAUUAUACAACUUUCAGCAACGGAUCUCUUGGCUCUCGCAUCGAUGAAGAACGCAGCGAAAUGCGAUAAGUAAUGUGAAUUGCAGAAUUCAGUGAAUCAUCGAAUCUUUGAACGCACCUUGCGCUCCUUGGUAUUCCGAGGAGCAUGCCUGUUUGAGUGUCAUUAAAUUCUCAACCUUCCAACUUUUAUUAGCUUGGAUAGGCUUGGAUGUGGGGGUUGCAGGCUUCAUCAAUGAGGUCAGCUCUUCUUAAAUGCAUUAGCGGAACUUUUGUGGACCGUCUAUUGGUGUGAUAAUUAUCUACGCCGUGGAUGAGAAACAGCUUUAUCAAGUUCAGCUUCUAACCGUCC